CUUUCUGGGUAGGUGUUGUGCUUCUCUGAGGCUGUCACUGGCUGUUGGAAGAGCUCAUCAUAAACACUAUCAUUUUUCCUGCCUUGUCCUCUGGAGCUGUGCUGUGAUCAUCUUGAAGACUCCAAGCCAGGUAAGCAGCGAGGCUUUUCCGAAGUAGAGGUGCUCUUCUCCAGGCACUCAUGAGGGCUAUUUAACUUUCCAAGCUCAUACAACUCUGCAGGCACAGAUACAUCUGUGCAAGUGUUUGAAAAAAGGUUUGACAAGACAGGGAAGGUGGAUCUAAAGGAAAUAAAGUAGGAAUUACCAGUGCUAGGACUGUCCUAGGAUCCAAAACUCCCUUUAUCAGUAGUAAAAGCAAGCCGAACUUCUCAUACAUCGUAAUGACUUAAGUAUGUCCAGGUCAGCCUGCUUUCAUGACCUGGUGAACCUGAUGGCUGACCAGCCAGAUGGAAAGAUCUUUUCAGUGGAUGAACGCAGAGCACUGAUAUGGGGACUGAAAUAAAGUUAAAAACAAAACACACAGCUCUGGUCUGUGGACUGGUGUGAUUCAGGCCUGUUGUGGUGAACUGCAAAUCACCACACUGUGCUGGGCAUGCUAUGUAUGUGUUACUGGGAGAAACAAGCAAAGUAGUGAUCUGUGAGUACAGAUGUAUAGGCAACAGUGAGGAGCAGUCGCCUUCCAAAGGACUGCUUUCUGCAGAGGAAUGUCCCUGGACAGGAAGCUCUUGGGUUGUGUUGUGUCUCCAACACUGUGGAGAGACCUCCAGGAAAAUGCCUUGCAACAGUCUGGAACUGCUGCUUCUGCUCAACCGCCCAGAUGUGCACCAUGGCCUGAGCCACCCUUAACAGGAAAAGAUGACCCACA
rnacentral:lncRNA from 7 species